rnacentral:rRNA from 1 species
UACAGAGGGUGCAAGCGUUGUUCGAAAUUAUUGGGCGUAAAGCGCGUGUAGGCGGCUUUGCAAGUCGGGUGUGAAAGCCCUCAGCUCAACUGAGGAAGUGCGCCCGAAACUGCAGAGCUUGAGUGCCGGAGAGGGUGGCGGAAUUCCCCAAGUAGAGGUGAAAUUCGUAGAUAUGGGGAGGAACACCGGUGGCGAAGGCGGCCACCUGGACGGUAACUGACGCUGAGACGCGAAAGCGUGGGGAGCAAACAGG